rnacentral:misc_RNA from 1 species
GUCUGAGAUUGUUCAAAUAUAAUAGGUCAUGUUUACGAGAGGAUUUCAGUAAUGAGAAAUAAAUGCCCAAGAAUGUUUGAUUAAUUUGAUUGGAAUCGUCCCCAUUUUAGCUGAAACUAACUUGAACCCAGCUAUAUUUUACUGGUAGUGAUCCUGACUAUGUAAUGGGAAAUUCUGCUGUGAUUGAAAUUUAAGAGCCUAAUUUAUUGCUUCCACGCUAUUAAUUAAUCUCAUUGUACUUUCCUGAGCCUGGUACUAGCUAAACUAUUUGAGAUUCGGACUUCCACUUAGCACUUGCAUGAAUGUUACUUUCUAUGAUACAUAGCUGGCUGGUACAGUGAAAACUAGCAUUUGGAUACACACUGGGAUUUCUUCAACUUUGUUAGUUUCCUCCUUUUCUUCCAUAUGGAGUUGGAUAUAUGUUCUAUUUUUUUUUCAAAAAGGAGGCUAAAUGGGUCAUGGGCUACACAACAAAGGGUAUUAAUAGAUUAGGGGAACGCAAACCCUACCCCCCUACUAUAGGGCAUAAGGAGACUAAUUAGGCUAGCCUUGAUUGGCUAAAGAAGAUUAUAUUUUAGUAUGUGUAGACCCAUAUAUGCAUAGCUAGAUUAACUACAAAUUCGUUGAUUUGCUUCACAAUUAAAUAUCGUUUUGUUUGUUUUGGCGUGGGGUUCUUCCUUGGUUGCAGGUGAAAGCCUAACACCAUAGGAGAAGUAAAACCCAAAUUUAUAUUGCUUGUGUGGCUCAUUACUAUAUUGUUUUUAUCCUCGAAUGCCUUCCAUUGCAUCCCAAAGGCUCUUCUUUUUAUAUUCUUUUAUUUUUUUUAUUUUUAAAGGCUCUCAAGUAUAAAUACAAGAUCACUAGAAUCAACAAUGAUUAGGGAAGCAAUUUUAAAGUUAUUGCAUACUAAUUAACCAAACCUCUUAUAUAAAUGUGCAUGACAGUAGUAGAGAAACCUGGCCACAG